rnacentral:lncRNA from 1 species
CUCUCUCCCCGAGCGGCCGCCAGGAUGUGCCCCCGGCCCCGUCGUCGCCGCGCCCGCGCCCCUCGCCCCAGUACGUCUUUUUUCGUUUCCUAAAUUUCUUAUUUUUGUCCUUGCAAGUGGUCCUGUCUGGUGUGAACCGUCAGCACAGAUGGCCUCCUGGAGCUUCCCCGAGUCGUUCGCUGGGGGAAGCGGGCGGUGAGCGGCCAGCCCGGGCGCUCCGCAGGCCGCGAGCUCCCGGCAGGGCUGGUGGCGGGGGUCCGCCUGGGGGAGGAAUCCCCGCCUGCUCCAUCGGACCCGGCCUGGCGCGGCUCGCGGCGCUCGGCGGGCUCCCUUCCAUUCUAGAAUCUUCCCGCUUGCUUCCCAGCCCGCGUUCUUCCGCCUGCCUUUAAUUGUAAUUUACAGGAUUAAGGAGUUUGGGGAAGUCGCAGAGCUGCAGCGGAAAGGCAGGGGUCUGAGACUACUUUUGAGAAGAGAAACAACGCAAAACGAUCGCUGGAGGGCCAGAGCCCUGGUCGAAGGUGCCCUAGCUUUUAUGACCUGGUUAAUUGUGUCUCCUUUUUAUUUUUAUUUUUUUCCUUACCACUACUACUACUACUACUUUUAUUUUUUUUUAACCGAUACACUUUGGAGAGAAGAAGCAGACACAGGUUCCCACGGCGUCUGACGCCUGCGGAGCAAGUCCAGAGCCAGCUGGACUCGCAGCCUCUGGCCCGGCGGCACCAACUCCUCACUGGGUCAUUUUGAGCGCGCUGUGCCCACCUUUUCUGUUGCGUGUGGACGUGGGGAGGAUCUUCUAAGUCCCUCCAACGAAGGCAAGUGUGAGACUCUGGCCCUUUAUUUGUAAGAAGCAAGCCUUCAGAUUGCAGAAGUGUCGCGCGGGUCGCCGUGCGUUGCGCGAGUGGGAAGAUGGAGGAGGCCGGCACGCUGCUUUCGUGGACGCAAGUGAACCGGGCGUGAAGGCAGGGUGCGAGCUCUGCCCUUGGCCCAGCCCUGCGUGGGCGCCGUCCCAGAUUCCGGGCGGUGCGGGGUGCAGAGAUCUGGAGAGACUUGCGGGCUCCCCAGCGCAGGCUGCUCUGGGAUUUCGUUGGAAGAUCCGGCAGAGCCUUGGAGGAGAGGGCCCGGGAGGCUGUGUGUGCAGCGGAAACUUGUACGAAUGCCCCCACAGCGGAAAUGGUGCGCACGAGUAAUUUCUGCGGUGCACCCUUUUAAAAAUUGACAAGUGAACAAGAUCAAUUUUUUAAGAAAGCAAAGGUAGAAAACAAAAGG